AGUAGAGGCGAUUGAACAGGGAAGAGCACAAAAUGUAAAUCUCAGCGGUAACGCUGCGAAUUGUAGUCUCAAGUUGCAUUACCAGCUUAGUCGUAAGGUAAAUUCUUCUGGAGUGAAGAACCGCAGAGGGUGAGAGUCCCGUAUGUCUUACGAUACUAGGUGCACGGUGUGUACACAAAGAGUCGCGCUCCUUGGGAAUGGAGCGCUAAGUGGGUGGUAAAUGUCAUCCAAUGCUAAAUAUUGGUGGGAGACCGAUAGCGAACAAGUACCGUGAGGGAAAGAUGAAAAGAACUUUGAAAAGAGAGUUAAACAGUGCUUGAAAUUGUUGAGAGGGAAGCGAUUUGGUUCAUGGUAUUGUUUUGGGUGGUGGAGAGAGGAUGUUGGUUUUCUGACAUUUUUGAAGCCAUCAGCCAAACGCCAGCAUGGGUUUUGUGUGUGGUAUUAUAGUUUUUUAGGUUGUUGGUUCACGCCAAGCCUGAGGGUACUCAUCACAUGCAAGACCGAGGUGACAAUGGAUAGGGUUUUAUGAACCAGGGAGCUUGCUCCUCU
rnacentral:rRNA from 1 species